GAUGAACGCUGGCGGCGUGCUUAACACAUGCAAGUCGAACGAAGACAUCUGAGUGCUUGCACUUGGAUGGACUGAGUGGCGGACGGGUGAGUAACGCGUGGGUAACCUGCCUUAUACAGGGGGAUAACAGUUGGAAACGACUGCUAAUACCGCAUAAGCGCACGGUAUCGCAUGAUACAGUGUGAAAAACUCCGGUGGUAUAAGAUGGACCCGCGUCUGAUUAGCUUGUUGGUGAGGUAACGGCCCACCAAGGCGACGAUCAGUAGCCGGCCUGAGAGGGUGAACGGCCACAUUGGGACUGAGACACGGCCCAAACUCCUACGGGAGGCAGCAGUGGGGAAUAUUGCACAAUGGGGGAAACCCUGAUGCAGCGACGCCGCGUGAGUGAUGAAGUAUUUCGGUAUGUAAAACUCUAUCAGCAGGGAAGAUAAUGACGGUACCUGACUAAGAAGCACCGGCUAAAUACGUGCCAGCAGCCG
rnacentral:rRNA from 1 species